rnacentral:rRNA from 1 species
CAGUAGCCACGGUAAACCGGAGGGGGCUAGCGUUGUUCGGAAUUACUGGGCGUAAAGCGCACGUAGGCGGCUUGGUAAGUUAGAGGUGAAAGCCCGGAGCUCAACUCCGGAAUUGCCUUUAAGACUGCCGAGCUAGUAGGUGAGAGAGGUAAGUGGAAUUCCGAGUGUAGAGGUGAAAUUCGUAGAUAUUCGGAAGAACACCAGUGGCGAAGGCGGCUUACUGGCUCAUUCUAGACGCUGAGGUGCGAAAGCGUGGGGAGCAAACAGGAUUAGAUACCCCUGUAGUCCCUGUCUCUUAUAC